AAUUCUCAAAUCCCUUUCCUUUUGGGAAAAGGAUUUUUGGACUUGGAGGUUCGAUGCUCACCCUCGUUUUUGAGGGUGAGCUCCUCUCAAAUAUAUUAGUGAGGUCCGCUUUGCCGAUCCUUGAUGUGAUAGAUGUUUUCUACGUUUUGGAUCCGGCACUGUCCCUUGGACGUUUGCUUCCAACUGUCCCAUGGACAACGAUAGUGCUCUGGUCGCCGCCACCCUACAUUGGCGGGAGGCUGGACCCACAAAAUAAAAC
rnacentral:misc_RNA from 1 species